rnacentral:rRNA from 1 species
AUUGAACGCUGGCGGCAUGCCUUACACAUGCAAGUCGAACGGCAGCAUGAUCUAGCUUGCUAGAUUGAUGGCGAGUGGCGAACGGGUGAGUAAUACAUCGGAACGUGCCCUGUAGUGGGGGAUAACUAGUCGAAAGAUUAGCUAAUACCGCAUACGACCUGAGGGUGAAAGUGGGGGACCGCAAGGCCUCAUGCUAUAGGAGCGGCCGAUGUCGGAUUAGCUAGUUGGUGGGGUAAAGGCCCACCAAGGCGACGAUCAGUAGCUGGUCUGAGAGGACGAUCAGCCACACUGGGACUGAGACACGGCCCAGACUCCUACGGGAGGCAGCAGUGGGGAAUUUUGGACAAUGGGGGCAAGCCUGAUCCAGCAAUGCCGCGUGUGUGAAGAAGGCCUUCGGGUUGUAAAGCACUUUUGUCCGGAAAGAAAUCGCACUUACUAAUAUUAGGUGUGGAUGACGGUACCGGAAGAAUAAGGACCGGCUAACUACGUG